AACUUUCAACAACGGAUCACUUGGCUCUCGCAUCGAUGAAGAACGCAGCGAAAUGCGAUACGUAACGUGAAUUGCAGAAUUCAGUGAAUCAUCGAAUCUUUGAACGCACCUUGCGCCCCUUGGAAUUCCGAGGGGCACACCCGUUUGAGUGUCGUGAACAUCCUUCAACCUUUCUUGGUUUCUUGACCGUGGAAGGCUUGGACUUUGGGGGUCUUUCAUUGCUGGCCUCUUUGAAGCCAGCUCCUCCUAAAUGGAUUAGUGUGGUCUGCUUUGCCGAUCCUUGACGUGAUAAGAUGUUUCUACGUCUUGGGUUUCGCACUGUCGCUUUAGACCCCGCUUCUAACCGUCUUGCAUUCAAGACAGAGUUUUUAAACCUUGACCUCAAAUCGGGUGAGACUACCCGCUGAACUUAAGCAUAUCAAUAAGCGGAGGCU
rnacentral:misc_RNA from 1 species